rnacentral:rRNA from 1 species
UCUAAGCACAUGCCUUAAUACGGUGAAGCCGCGAAUAGCUCAUUACAACAGCCAUCGUUUAUUAGAAUAUCGUUAUCCUACUUGGAUAACUGUGGCAAUUCUAGAGCUAAUACAUGCAAUAAAGCUCCGCCCGCAAGGAACGAGCGCAUUUAUUAGAAUAAAAACCAAUCGAGCUUCGGCUCGUAAUUUGGUGAAUCUGAAUAACUUUGCCAAUCGCACAGUCCUAGUACUGGCGAUGUAUCUUUCAAGUGUCUGCCUUAUCAACUUUCGAUGGUACGCUAUACGCCUACCAUGGUAGUAACGGGUAACGGAGAAUAAGGGUUCGACUCCGGAGAGGGAGCCUGAGAAACGGCUACCACAUCCAAGGAAGGCAGCAGGCGCGCAAAUUACCCACUUCCAGAACGGAGAGGUAGUGACGAAAAAUAACGAGACAGUCCUCUUCGAGGUCUGUCAUCGGAAUGGGUACAAUUUAAA